rnacentral:rRNA from 1 species
GGAGGAAAAGAAACUAACAAGGAUUCCCCUAGUAACUGCGAGUGAAGCGGGAAAAGCUCAAAUUUAAAAUCUGGCGGUCUUUGGCCGUCCGAGUUGUAAUCUAGAGAAGUGAUGCCCGCGCUGGACCGUGUACAAGUCUCCUGGGAUGGAGCGUCAUAGAGGGUGAGAAUCCCGUCUUUGACACGGACUACCAGUGCUUUGUGGUACGCUCUCAACGAGUCGAGUUGUUUGGGAAUGCAGCUCAAAAUGGGUGGUAAAUUCCAUCUAAAGCUAAAUAUUGGCGAGAGACCGAUAGCGAACAAGUACCGUGAGGGAAAGAUGAAAAGAACUUUGGAAAGAGAGUUAAACAGUACGUGAAAUUGCUGAAAGGGAAACGCUUGAAGUCAGUCGCGUUGGCCGGGGAUCAGCCUCGCUUUUGCGUGGUGUACUUUCCGGUUGACGGGUCAGCAUCAAUUUUGACCGCUGGAAAAAGGCUUGGGGAAUGUGGCAGCUUCGGCUGUGUUAUAGCUUCAUGUCACAUACAGCGGUUGGGAUUGAGGAACUCAGCGCGCCGCAAGGCCGGGUUCGA